CCUACGGGAGGCAGCAGUGAGGAAUAUUGGUCAAUGGGCGGAAGCCUGAACCAGCCAAGUCGCGUGAGGGAAGACGGUCCUAUGGAUUGUAAACCUCUUUAGGCGGGGAGCAAUGCCGGGCACGUGUGCCCGGAGGGAGGGUACCCGCAGAAUAAGCAUCGGCUAACUACGUGCCAGCAGCCGCGGUAAUACGUAGGGGGCAAGCGUUAUCCGGAUUUACUGGGUGUAAAGGGAGCGUAGACGGUUAUGUAAGUCUGGUGUGAAAGCCUUGGGCCCAACCCGGGGACUGCUUUGGAAACUGGGUAACUGGAGUACAGAAGGGGCAGGCGGAAUUCCUGGUGUAGCGGUGAAAUGCGUAGAUAUCAGGAGGAACACCGGCGGCGAAGGCGGCUUGCUGGACUGAAACUGACGUUGAGGUUCGAAAGCGUGGGGAGCAAACAGGAUUAGAUACCCCUGUAGUC
rnacentral:rRNA from 1 species